GUGAGGGGCUGGGCGAAAGGAGGGAGGGAGGAUGGGGAACGCGCGCCCCAAGAGCGAAGGCAAACAGCUGUGGAGGCGCUGCCCAGGGCUCAGGCUUCCCAACAGGUUAGCUAGACGGGGAUCCACCCGGCAUUUCGCAGGAAAGGGGGGGGGGAGACUGAGCGACAGGGGGAGAGAGCCUCAGAAGAGGACAGAGGGAGGGAGGGAGAGAG
rnacentral:lncRNA from 1 species